rnacentral:tRNA from 1 species
GUAAAUAUAGUUUAACAAAAACAUUAGAUUGUGAUUCUAAAAAUAGGAGUUAAAUCCUCCUUAUUCACC